rnacentral:Y_RNA from 1 species
GACUGGUCUGAUGGUAGUGCCCACACAAAAGUUAUUGAUGUUAGUUACACUAAGCUUUCUAUGCUGCACCACUAAACUUUCUACGCUGCACCCCACUGCUAACCUUGACUGGUCUUUU